ACAACCAUGCUGGACUUCGUUCCAAUCAUUGGUGUCUCCAUACCUGUUUCUGGAUUUUGUUCUAUAAAUAAUAUAGUCAACAAUAAGAAGUCCCAGUGUCAAGGAGCUCCCAGUCUAAAGUGGACACAAUCAAGCAGAAGUUGCAACGUGGAGUAGAUGAAGAAGCAGAACUGUCUAGAGACUUGCUCAAGAGGAAGUCACCUCUCACACCUGCCCUAUGCAGUCAGGCCUUCUGUGCACAUAAUCAAUUGCCUGGAUUAAUGUCACUGGCUCCUGAAGAGUCCUGCUGCACGGGUGAUCCAUUCUCUCAUAUCUGUGGUCUCGACUUUUUCCUAGACUGAUCAGCUGUGCUGGCUCUCCACAGUCUCCCAUCCCUGUGAGAACCCACCUGCUCUCCCUGGGAGAUGAAGCCAAUCCCUCCUGUGCCAGUCUCUCUGGGGAUCAUCUCUUAGCAUGGACAGCCUGCUCCAGGCCCUGAAGUAGAAAGCUGCUACUUAACCAAACACACAGGCUAACAGCUGGGAUUAAAUGACCUGAAAGGGAAAAGCAUUAAUGGAUGGGUAGAGUCUAUUUCUCCAGCUCCUUUACCUGUGAAGAAUACAGAAGUAGGUGUGAUGCUGUGUACUUUGAGAAAGACCUGUGGCUUCCAUAAGAACUUUCCUGCUAUGGAUCCGUUAAGUAUUCCCCAAAGGCCAAUGUGUUGAAGAUUUGACACUAGCCUGUGGUACUGUCGGGAGAUGGGAGAACCUGUGGGAAGUCAAGCCUAGUGGGACAUGCCCUUGAAGGGAAUCCUGGGACCCCAGCCCUCUCUGCUCUCCACUUCCUGGCCUCCAUGAAGUGAACAGCUUCCUCAGUCUUGUGUUCCUGUCAGGAUGUUUUACCACAGGUCCCAAAACAGCCCAGGGACAAAUGACAAAGAACAGAACCCUCUGGCCAAAACAAUCCUUUUCUCCUGUGUUAUCUCAGGUAAUUUGUCACAACGCUAGAAAGCUAACUCCUUUGAGUCCAUCUGCUCCAUGAUGUGAGGAAGCCCAAGAUGGCCCAUGGAGAGCAGGAGGCCCAGGAACUUCCACAGUCCAGUAUUAAUUCAACUUGCUCGAGUUAAAACCACAGGCCCCAGCCCUGCUGCAUUUGUAGGACUGUGAGCAAAUGGAAGUGUUCUAAGCUACUAAGCUUGGCAUGCCCUGGAGCAUCACGGUAGAGCGGAGAUCCUCCCAGGAUUCAAGCCCUGGGCAGGAGCAGCUGGACAGACCCUGGCACUACGAGGAAGCAGGGAGGGGAGAUAUUUCAGCUUCAGUGGAGAGAGGAGAGCUUGUCCUUCCUUGAGGGCGUGCCCAUAGCAAGGAAAUCCCUAAACUGAAGCUGGCGUUCUAACACUAAAACAACAAGACAGUCCAAAGUUCCUGUCGUCAAAGUAACUAGUGACACCAUGUGAUGCCCCUGGAGAAAAGAGUCACACAAAAGAAAAGUCCCUAGCAGCAGAGCAUCUCUGACUACCCAGCAUUCCUAGCAGCAGAGCAUCUCUCUGACUACCCAGCAUUCCGUGCUUUGAAAGGAGAAAGUUAGAAUAAACUAGGACUCCCUCCCUGAACCAUGCACUGCCUGCCUACCUACUCAGGGCAACCACAGAUUUUUAAAAAAUGAGGAAGGAAGGAGAAUUUCAAUAGUGUAAAUUUAUAUAUAACAUACAUUAUAUAUGUACACAACUAUGCCAAAGACAGCAAAAAAUAUGACCACAGAGAACCUGUACAAGCAGGUCCCUAGGGCUCCUGUAUUCACAAUAUCCAAAAGUAGGAAAAAAAUAAAAACAAAUAGUUCUAACAAUUUAUGUAAAAAAUAUAUACAUAAAAGAGAAUAUUACCCAACAACAAAAAAUUCAGUACUGAUGAUCCAUGCCAAAACAUGGACUGGACAUUUUGCUAUUUAAAGGAAUCACAGAAGACAAGGUUCCUGGAAGCAGACCUGACAUGUUUUAUUAGAUACACAGGAAAACCAUUUCAGAUAGUGCUGUCUUGCUCUUGUAAGGACCACUUUUAUUUUUGUAAGCAUUAUCAUACAGAUUCACAGAAGCUGGAUUCUCAGGAGGUAAGAGUGGUGCUUGCACAGUUGCAUAAAUCUCACCUCCUCUGACCAACAUCCUGCAAAAGCCAGCAGCUGGGGACUAGCAGCCAGCUACAGAGACCCUGGUGAUGGUUUCCUGCUUGCCCUGACACACAUCUUCUCUGAAAUCAGCAUUGGGAAGAUAUGACUUUCUCCUUACAGCAAUAGCUCUGAAACGUCACAUUUAAUACUAAUUUUUAAUGCACACUUCUAGUCAAAUAUGGAAGAGAGAGAAAAGAGGGAGUGUUCAUGCUUUUAAUCCAAUCACGUAGAAUCCCACGUCUUCUACGGACAGUCCUCGGGCACCCCUUUCUGCCCUUCCAUGAUAGUGUUGAAGCAGGAUGAAUAACUAGGCAGAAUUUUUCCUAGCAAGCUGUUUUGCUCUCUUUGGAAUUUCUGGUGUUCAAGGAACUGCUCUGCAUGUUGUGUCUAGUCUGGUAUGCUUUUCCAUGUCAUGACAAGCAGGAAGAAUUCACUGUGUAUCUCUCCCAUCCUUACAGGAGUGGUUUUCUCUCCUGACUCUCACUGGAGCUAUCUGUAUAUAACAUCUCAUGUGGGUUUGGCAGACCCUUUGGGUCUUAUUCUGUACGCUCACCUGAGCCCUGGGUGACGACAUCUGCAUCCUUUCCUUUAUUUCCCAGUUAACUUUAAGCUCUUAAUUUUAAGCCCUGUGACCGUUUUCUAUACAUGUUAAAGAACAUUCGGUUUGCAUGACGGUUACUUAAGGAAGUCUGCUAACAUGGCUACCUCUCUUGGACCACACCAAUGACAUUUAUGACGUAUUUUGGAUCCACAUCAAGAGUGAUUUGUCCCCAUAACCCUUUAACCCUUCUCAGGUACGUUUGCAUGUGCUGUUGCAGACUUCCCUUUGCACUGUAUCACUGUAACAGCUAUAAUAUGAAUCAGAUAUAAAAGGAGUCUAGAAUAAAAUACAUUUUGGUUGAAAAAAUAAAAAUAUGUUAAAUAAAACCAACAUUCUACAAGAGGC